GAAUCCAGAGGAAGUGGAGGCCUCCUGCUCUGCACAGGAAACGAUCUUCCAGAACGCCUUAAAUGCCAGACUCCAGGCUAGUUUAACUAACCACUGACAGCUCUGUAAACAAAGCAGGGGCAGGAGCCCUCUUCCCCUUUCCUGGGAGUCAUCUUGGGUUUGGGGGCCGAAGGGAAAUUCUGGAACAUUUGACUGCAUGCCACAGAUACACAGCAGAAGCAGGCCCUGCAUCUGAAGAGCUGGAAAUUUCUUCCAGAGUCAAAGUCAUCUCAGAGGAGAUCGAGAUAUUAUCUGGGCUCCCUAAACCCGAAACCUCACUAUGGAUGAUUUUGAACGUCGCAGAGAACUCAGGAGGCAAAAGAGGGAGGAGAUGCGGCUGGAGGCGGAGAGAAUUGCCUAUCAGAGGAAUGAUGAUGACGAAGAAGAGGCUGCCAGGGAACGGCGCCGCCGAGCCCGACAGGAAAGGCUGCGGCAGAAGCAAGAGGAAGAAUCCUUGGGACAGGUGACAGACCAAGUGGAGGCCCAUGUCCAGAACAGUGUCCCCGAUGAAGAGUCUAAGCCAGCCACUGCAAAUGCU
rnacentral:lncRNA from 1 species